CAAAUCGUGGUAAGAUGUGAAUUUCUAGUGCUCACGUUCUGCAUGAAUAUGCUGUUUUACUUCUCUAUUUAUGGUGGCAACAUGUCGAUGUUCCUCUUUCAAUAGCUUUCUCAAAUUAAUUGUGUGCUCUGUAUCCUGUGUAUGCAUUACGGUGUGCUUGUGAAGAUCCAUAUAAAGAAAUAUAUAUAGAAGGGAAAACGGGCAGUGACUCUGAUAUUUAAGCAAUCAAAGGAUUCAACAAUUAUCAGUCUUUAACAUUAUCAAUCCAUGACAAUUAUAACAUUCCUAUUGAAAAAAUUACCUAAAUUAUUUACUUAGUAGUUGGAUUUUCUAUGUGCCCAGGUGGAUGUCUUAAUCAAAAAAUGCAUUGAUCUGCACCUUGAUGUGUUUAUUUUAUGUUCUUUCUUCAUUAAACCAUUUUAUGGUAAUUGCAAGCUGCCAUUAUCUUCUUUUGCAUCUUCUUGCUCAGUAGACCUUCUUUAUUUUAAUCUUAACUCAAAAACUGGCUGCAGGGCUCAGCAAUGAAGCUAAAAGUGCUGGAAACUCUGAAGCAAAUGUAUCCACUAAAACAUCCAAGAUACCUGACGAGCCCGGGACAGCUAACUCAGUACAUUUUACAGCUCCUCGGCACCAUGACAACAUCGAACUAAAGGGCAAGAAUACAUUUUUACCCAGAAGUGUUAGACCUCUUGCAAACAAACCAAAAACCAGCGAGGGUGAAGAUGAGAAACCGAAAUCCAAUGAGGAGUUCAGGAAAAUGUUUAUCAAAGAUUGAGGUUGUUCUUGGGAUACUGACUUUACUUUAGAAGCCCAUCGAGGUGCACUGUGUAACCCAUGGUUUUGAGUAAAAUGUUGUUUGGGAUUAAACAUACCUGUCCUUAUGUCAUCUUUCAGUUAGAUUCUAACAAAUUCACUUCAAGGCUGUAUCUUUUCUUUCAGUUAUGGGUAUCUUUAGAUUUGUAUUUUCUACAGUUAUAUAAACAAUCAACGUGAGGUGUGUUCUAAUGAGGUGGAUGUAUUGGAUGUCUUUAGUUUCUUCAUUCUAGAAUACAUGGUCAAGUAUGAUCAUCCUUUAUCUCUGGAAAUGAUUCUGAAGGUUUUGGACUGUCAUUUUGUUUGACCCAAUGAUACUUAUGUUUAUGGAAUUUUGCAGGGUCUAUAUGUCGGUUAAAGCUCCUAUUACAUGGCAAGAACUAUAAUAUGCUACCCGAGCCUCACUGCGGUGUUGGGUAGCAUAGAUUGGUAAUUUGUUCUUUUGCUCCUAAUCAUGAGAUUCAAUGUGAUGUUUGAGUAAUUGCCAGCAUUUGGUUGAGACAUGAUGGCUCUCAGGCCAUUUUAUUGAUUGGAUUAUGGUUGGACUUUGUCAUUUCUUUGGCUAACUGUCUUCUGUGUGGGGUCGCAAAUCUUCUGGAUGAUCUUGGACCACAAAAGCACCAACCAGAACAAGCAUGACCAUGAG
rnacentral:lncRNA from 1 species